rnacentral:rRNA from 1 species
GAUGAACGCUGGCGGCGUGCCUAAUACAUGCAAGUCGAGCGAAGCGGGGACGGGUGAGUAACACGUGGAUAACCUCCUAUAAGACUGGGAUAACUUCGGGAAACCGGAGCUAUACCGGAUACUUAUAGAUGGUUCCGCGCUGCAUUAGUUAGUUGGUAAGGUAACGGCUUACAAAGGCAACGAGGCAUAGCCGACCUGAGAGGGUGAUCGGCCAGACUGGAACUGAGGCACGGUCAUGACUCCUACGGGAGGCAGCAGGAGGGAAUCUUCCGCAAUGGGCGAAAGCCUGACGGAGCAACGCCGCGUGGGUGAUGAAGGUCUUCGGAUCGUAAGACUCUGUUAUUAGGGAAGCGGUACCUAAUCAGGAAGCCACGGCUAACUACGUGCCAGCAGCCGCGGUAAUAC